UAAUUUAUGCUAUUUUAGGCACCCCUUCAAAGUCGUGUACAUUUGAAUAUAUAUUUAGUUUAAACAAGUAACGUGACCAAUAUUUUGAAAACCAACGGAAAGGAUGUAUAACGUACACUUAACAAAUAAAAUUCAUAUCAAUAAAUAUAUAUUUAGAAAGUACCACACUUCCUGUAUUAAAUCGGCAAUCACAUGCAUUCCUAGUAGUACUUAUAAUUCGGAUACAGCUAAGCAGUAUGUGCCGCUUUUUGGAAAGUUCAAACUUGAAUAGUUUUACGUCGAAUAUAUUUUGUGACCUAAAAGAACUAG
rnacentral:lncRNA from 1 species